rnacentral:lncRNA from 1 species
AUUGCAUGACAUUGUGGUGUUCCAUGCAUCGUUCUAAUCUCUUAAAGAAAAUUUAACGACAGGCCAAACUUCUAACCUACUAAGUACUAUGAAUCACAUGAAACCAGAAAAUAUUUUAGAUCAGGGAUACGUAGCGGUUUGUAAUUCACGAUGGAACUAAAAAGUAGGUAGCAGGAAAAAAGAAAGCAAGGCUAGGUAUGUAUAUAAUAUAUAUAAGAGAAGUCUCAGAUUUUCAAAAAGCACAAAGUAAAAGUUACGUUAUUUUUAAAUAAUGCAUAGUCAACGAGUAUUUCAUAUAAAUCCUAACAAGCUGAUGGGGUAUCUUUUUCUCACUUUUGAGUUUGAUGAAAAGUAAUAAUAUUGGCCAUAAUUUGGCACUUCUGGAAACAUUAGUGAAUUUCAACAUGUCUAAGAGGCCAUGAGUUUUAAGAUGCUGCAUUAUUUUAUGUAUAUCACUACACAGAUGCUGCCAAUUGUAAUUAAAAUAGGCCCGCUUGCAGAGAUGUUAAAAUGUGGAGAAGCAAGCAUCUUUGAACUAAUGAAACAGAGUAAUGUUCCUAACUAAUGGUGACUACAUGGUAUAAUCUUUCUCCCCCCAAAUUAAAUGAUCCAUUGCCUGAUGCCUUCCUAUAAAAGAACAGAAAAAUAUUGGCAUCAAUCACACUUAAAAUAUGUUAUCAAAAAGGAAAAAGGGGGAGUAUGUGGGUCAGUUCAACUCAUAAUAAAUACAAAAAAUAUGAGGAAAAGGAAGGCAAUUGGUAAACAGGGAAGUGCUUCAAAGUUGUCAUUAUUAUUACUAAUAUUAAAGAAGAGACUACUUAACACGAUUAACAUUUCACUUAUCCCAAAUUUCCCGCAUUUUUAUCCACUUACUUUCAAUUAAAGCAACUGAACAUUUGAUCUGGAGUGAAAAAAACUGAUUCUAAUUCUGAGUUUGUUGGUUUGUUUAAAUGAUCCGGAACCCACUUGAGAUGCGUAUUUUAUUACUGUAUCAAUAAAUCUGAUUGCUUCGCUGUUCUUCUGAUGGCCCCUUUGUUCUUGGCAAUCACCUGCAAUUUCUCAAAAUCUAAUCAAAAUUAAUUUUUGAAGUACCAGCCAGUUCUCAUGAACUUCUGAAGAAUUGUGUAUUCUUACUGUGUGAAAGGUUAGGGAAAGACUAUAGUAUCUCAUGAAUGCUUAGCAGUAGGAUUGAAACGUUCAUCUUCAGGAAUUUCUUGUGCAGGCUUACUUAGGAAAAAGGAGACUUGACUGUU